rnacentral:rRNA from 1 species
GAUGAACGCUGGCGGCGUGCCUAAUACAUGCAAGUCGAGCGGAGCGAGGACGGGUAAGUCACACGUGUAUAACCUCCUAUAGGACUGGGGUACCUUCGGGAACCCGUAUCUAGACCGGUUGCUUAUAGAUGGAUCCGCGCUGCAUUGGCUAGUUGGUAAGGUAACGGCUUACCAAGGCAACGAUGCAUGGCCGACCUGAGAGGGUGAUCGGCCACACUGGAACUGAGACACGGUCCAGACUCCUACGGGAGGCAGCAGUAGGGAAUAUUCCGCAAUGGGCGAAAGCCUGACGGAGCCAUGCCGCGUGAGUGAUGAAGGUCUUCGGAUCGUAAAACUCUGUUAUUAGGGAAGCGGUACCUAAUCAGAAAGCAACGGCUAACUACGUGCCAGCAGCCGCGGUAAUAC